rnacentral:rRNA from 1 species
CAGCAGCCGCGGUAAUACGGAGGGGGCUAGCGUUGUUCGGAAUUACUGGGCGUAAAGCGCACGUAGGCGGCUUUACAAGUCAGAGGUGAAAGCCUGGUGCUCAACACCAGAAUUGCCUUUGAGACUGUAUCGCUUGAACGUCGGAGAGGUGAGUGGAAUUCCGAGUGUAGAGGUGAAAUUCGUAGAUAUUCGGAAGAACACCAGUGGCGAAGGCGGCUCACUGGACGACUGUUGACGCUGAGGUGCGAAAGCGUGGGGAGCAAACAGGAUUAGAUACCCCCGUAGUCCCUGUCUCUUAUAC